rnacentral:rRNA from 1 species
ACCGGCGCACGGGUGAGUAACACGUAUCCAACCUGCCGUCUACUCUUGGACAGCCUUCUGAAAGGAAGAUUAAUACAAGAUGGCAUCAUGAGUCCGCAUGUUCACAUGAUUAAAGGUAUUCCGGUAGACGAUGGGGAUGCGUUCCAUUAGAUAGUAGGCGGGGUAACGGCCCACCUAGUCUUCGAUGGAUAGGGGUUCUGAGAGGAAGGUCCCCCACAUUGGAACUGAGACACGGUCCAAACUCCUACGGGAGGCAGCAGUGAGGAAUAUUGGUCAAUGGGCGAGAGCCUGAACCAGCCAAGUAGCGUGAAGGAUGACUGCCCUAUGGGUUGUAAACUUCUUUUAUAAAGGAAUAAAGUCGGGUAUGCAUACCCGUUUGCAUGUACUUUAUGAAUAAGGAUCGGCUAACUCCGUGCCAGCAGCCGCGGUAAUACGGAGGAUCCGAGCGUUAUCCGGAUUUAUUGGGUUUAAAGGGAGCGUAGAUGGAUGUUUAAGUCAGUUGUGAAAGUUUGCGGCUCAACCGUAAAAUUGCAGUUGAUACUGGAUAUCUUGAGUGCAGUUGAGGCAGGCGGAAUUCGUGGUGUAGCGGUGAAAUGCUUAGAUAUCACGAAGAACUCCGAUUGCGAAGGCAGCCUGCU